GGCGCAGUGGCGGAGUGGUCUAACGCGAUAGACUAGAACAAUCUCUGGGAACGUCCACGAUGUUGUCCAGUAGGUCUCUAGCCCAUCUAUUCCCUUCGGGGGCGUCUGUUCGAAUCAGGCCUGCGUCG